rnacentral:rRNA from 1 species
GAUGACCGCUGGCGGCGUGCUUAACACAUGCAGUCGUACGCGAAAGUCCCUUCGGGGAUGAGUAAAGUGGCGCACGGGUGAGUAACGCGUGGAUUAUCUACCUGCAUCACCGGAAUAACGGUUGGAAACGACUGCUAAUGCCGGAUAGUCUUGAAAGGGUAAAGGGGGCCUCUGCUUGCAAGCUUCCGGGUGCUGAUGAGUCCGCGUCUGAUUAGCUAGUUGGUGAGGUAAUGGCUCACCAAGGCAACGAUCAGUAGCAGGUUUGAGAGGAUGACCUGCCACACUGGGACUGGAACACGGCCCAGACUCCUACGGGAGGCAGCAGUGGGGAAUAUUGGGCAAUGGGCGCAAGCCUGACCCAGCAACGCCGCGUGAAGGAUGAAGGCUUUCGGGUUGUAAACUUCUUUGAUCAGGGACGAAAUUGACGGUACCUGAAGAACAAGCCACGGCUAACUACGUGCCAGCAGCCGCGGUAAUACGUAGGUGGCAAGCGUUAUCCGGAUUUACUGGGUGUAAAGGGCGUGUAGGCGGGCAUUCAAGUCGGAUGUGAAAUCCCCAGGCUUAACCUGGGCCCUGUCAUCCGAAACUGGAUGUCUUGAGUGUUGGAGAGGAAAGCCGAAUUCCUAGUGUAGCCGGUAAAAUGCUUAGAUAUUAGGGAGGAACAUCAGUGGCGAAGGCGGCUUUUCUGGA